AAAAAGAUAAGCUAAUUAAGCUCUUGGGUUCAUACCUCAACUAUAAAGGUUUUAAUCCUUUUCUUUUUA
rnacentral:tRNA from 1 species